GGUGUUUACUGUCGAACUGAACACUCUACCGUUUACUGUCUGGUGGUGCUCUUCACCGAGUGUCACCAGUGGUCGGUACGUUUACUUUGAAAAAAUUAGAGUGCUCAAAGCGGUUUUUACACGACCGAUACUGUUGCAUGGAAUAAUGAAAUAGGACUUUGGUUCUAUUUUGUUGGUCUUCGGAAACCAAGGUAAUGAUUAAGAGGGACAGACGGGGGCAUUAGUAUUGCGACGCUAGAGGUGAAAUUCUUGGACCGUCGCAAGACUAACUAAAGCGAAAGCAUUUGCCAAGAAUGUUUUCAUUAAUCAAGAACGAAAGUUAGAGGUUCGAAGGCGAUCAGAUACCGCCCUAGUUCUAACCAUAAACGAUGCCAACCAGCAAUCAGCCUGUGUUCUCUUGAUGACACGGCUGGCGGCUUCCGGGAAACCAAAGUCUUUCGGUUCCAGGGGAAGUAUGGUUGCAAAGCUGAAACUUAAAGGAAUUGACGGAAGGGCACCACCAGGAGUGGAGCCUGCGGCUUAAUUUGACUCAACACGGGGAAACUCACCCGGCCCGGACACUGUGAGGAUUGACAGGUUGAAGCCCUUUCUUGAUUCAGUGGGUGGUGGUGCAUGGCCGUUCUUAGUUGGUGGAGUGAUUUGUCUGGUUAAUUCCGAUAACGAACGAGACUCUAGCCUACUAAUUAGACCGUGGCGUCCUCGUGCCGCCACGGCGCUUCCUAGAGGGACAGACGG
rnacentral:rRNA from 1 species